UCCAAGCUCCACCCAUUGUAAGCCCCCACCACCACCUUGGAAACCGCUCCCCUGAGGUGCAGCCUCCCCUUAACCUCUUGGCAGAAAAGAACAAAAGAAUUUGGUUGGAACCGCUCUACAGAGAAUCAAAGAAAUCAGCCUGAAUUAUCUGAUCUUAACUGAAUUUUCAAAAGACUAUCUAAUACCUUUUAAUUGCCACAAGCCAGCUUGUCCUGUUCCAGCCGCCUGGCAGUACAGAUGAUAGAUAAUCCGUCUGAAAAAGGCUUCCUCAGGGCAGUGACAUCUUUCCAGGUUGAACGGGAUUUCUUCACAGUGCAGGGAGAAUCUGAAGAUCCUUCCCAAUUUCUUGUAAACGAAUACAGUUCCUUCA